rnacentral:ribozyme from 1 species
CCCUGGCUCAGCCGGCCACCUCAACGUGGUGCCAGGGUCUAGCACCCUCUUGCUAGAGAGGAAGCCAAGCGCCUG